rnacentral:rRNA from 1 species
AGUGAACGCUGGCGGCAUGCCUUACACAUGCAAGUCGAACGGCAGCACGGGAGCUUGCUCCUGUUGGCGAGUGGCGAACGGGUGAGUAAUACAUCGGAACAUGUCCUGUCGUGGGGGAUAGCCCGGCGAAAGCCGGAUUAAUACUGCAUACGCUCUACGGAUGAAAGCGGGGGCCCUUCGGGCUUCGCGCUAUCGGGUUGGCCGAUGGCUGAUUAGCUAGUUGGUGGGGUAAAGGCCUACCAAGGCGACGAUCAGUAGCUGGUCUGAGAGGACGACCAGCCACACUGGGACUGAGACACGGCCCAGACUCCUACGGGAGGCAGCAGUGGGGAAUUUUGGACAAUGGGCGAAAGCCUGAUCCAGCAAUGCCGCGUGUGUGAAGAAGGCCUUCGGGUUGUAAAGCACUUUUGUCCGGAAAGAAAUCCUUGGCCCUAAUACGGUCGGGGGAUGACGGUACCGGAAGAAUAAGCACCGGCUAACUACGUG